UGAGGAAUAUUGGACAAUGGGCGCAAGCCUGAUCCAGCCAUGCCGCGUGCAGGAGGAAGCAUCUAUGGUGUGUAAACUGCUUUUGUACGGGAAGAAACACUCCUUCGUGAAGGAGCUUGACGGUACCAUAAGAAUAAGGAUCGGCUAACUCCGUGCCAGCAGCCGCGGUAAUACGGAGGAUCCAAGCGUUAUCCGGAAUCAUUGGGUUUAAAGGGUCCGUAGGCGGUUUAGUAAGUCAGUGGUGAAAGCCCAUCGCUCAACGAUGGAACGGCCAUUGAUACUGCUAGACUUGAAUUACAAGGAAGUAACUAGAAUAUGUAGUGUAGCGGUGAAAUGCUUAGAUAUUACAUGGAAUACCAAUUGCGAAGGCAGGUUACUACUUGUGGAUUGACGCUGAUGGACGAAAGCGUGGGGAGCGAACA
rnacentral:rRNA from 1 species